rnacentral:rRNA from 2 species
UGCGCAGGCGGUUUUGUAAGACAGUGGUGAAAUCCCCGGGCUCAACCUGGGAACUGCCAUUGUGACUGCAAGGCUGGAGUGCGGCAGAGGGGGAUGGAAUUCCGCGUGUAGCAGUGAAAUGCGUAGAUAUGCGGAGGAACACCGAUGGCGAAGGCAAUCCCCUGGGCCUGCACUGACGCUCAUGCACGAAAGCGUGGGGAGCAAACA